CGUACACUCCUACGGGAGGCAGCAGUGGGGAAUAUUGCACAAUGGGCGCAAGCCUGAUGCAGCCAUGCCGCGUGUAUGAAGAAGGCCUUCGGGUUGUAAAGUACUUUCAGCGGGGAGGAAGGCGAUAAGGUUAAUAACCUUGUUGAUUGACGUUACCCGCAGAAGAAGCACCGGCUAACUCCGUGCCAGCAGCCGCGGUAAUACGGAGGGUGCAAGCGUUAAUCGGAAUUACUGGGCGUAAAGCGCACGCAGGCGGUCUGUCAAGUCGGAUGUGAAAUCCCCGGGCUCAACCUGGGAACUGCAUUCGAAACUGGCAGGCUAGAGUCUUGUAGAGGGGGGUAGAAUUCCAGGUGUAGCGGUGAAAUGCGUAGAGAUCUGGAGGAAUACCGGUGGCGAAGGCGGCCCCCUGGACAAAGACUGACGCUCAGGUGCGAAAGCGUGGGGAGCAAACAGGAUUAGAUACCCUGUAGUCCCAUGA
rnacentral:rRNA from 1 species